GAUGAACGCUGGCGGCGUGCCUAAUACAUGCAAGUCGAGCGAACAGACGAGGAGCUUGCUCCUCUGACGUUAGCGGCGGACGGGUGAGUAACACGUGGAUAACCCCCCUAUAAGACUGGUAUAACUUCGGGAAACUGGAUCUAAUACCGGAUAACAUGUUGAACCGCAUGGUUCAAUAGUGAAAGUCGGUUUUGCUGUCACUUCUCGCUGCAUCCGCGUCGCAUUAGCUAGUUGGUAAGGUAACGGCUUACCAAGGCAACGAUGCGUAGCCGACCUGAGAGGGGGAUAGGCGGCACUAGAACUGAGACACGGACCAGAGGCCUACGGGAGGCAGCAGUAGGGAAUCUUCGGCAAUGGGCGAAAGCAUGACAGAACAACGGCACGUGAGUGAAGAAGAUGUUCGGAUCGUAAAAAUCUGUUAUGAGGGAAGAACAAAUGUGUAAGUAACUAUGCACGUAUUGACGGUACAGAAUCAAAAAGCCACGGCUAACUACGUG
rnacentral:rRNA from 1 species